rnacentral:rRNA from 1 species
UUGAAUGGCUGCGGUAUUCUAACCGUGCUAAGGUAGCAUAAUCAUUUGUCUUUUAAUUGAGGGCUUGUAUGAAAGGUCGGAUGAAGUAAUAACUUUCUUUAAUUUAAUUUAUGAAUUUAAUUUUUAGGUUAAAAAGCUAAAAUGUUUUUAUAGGACGAGAAGACCCUAUAGAUCUUUACAGUUUGUUAGGUAUAAUGAUUUGGUGAAUUAUUUAUUAUUAUUCAAUGAUUUUGUUUGGUUGGGGUGAUUGUGGAAUUCUUUUAACUUCCAUUAUUUUUUUUUCAAGGGUUAUUGUUUUU